ACACCAGACUCCUACGGGAGGCAGCAGUGAGGAAUAUUGGUCAAUGGGCGAGAGCCUGAACCAGCCAAGUCGCGUGAGGGAGUACUGCCCUAUGGGUUGUAAACCUCUUUUGUCGGGGAGCAAAAGCCGGACGUGUCCGUCUGUGAGAGUACCCGAAGAAAAAGCAUCGGCUAACUCCGUGCCAGCAGCCGCGGUAAUACGGAGGAUGCGAGCGUUAUCCGGAUUUAUUGGGUUUAAAGGGUGCGCAGGCGGAUUUUUAAGUCAGCGGUCAAAUCGUGGGGCUCAACCCCAUCCAGCCGUUGAAACUGCCGUUCUUGAGUGAGCGAGAAGUAUGCGGAAUGCGUGGUGUAGCGGUGAAAUGCAUAGAUAUCACGCAGAACUCCGAUUGCGAAGGCAGCAUACCGGCGCUCAACUGAUGCUGGAGCACGAAGGCGUGGGUAUCGAACAGGAUUAGAUACCCCAGUA
rnacentral:rRNA from 1 species